rnacentral:ncRNA from 2 species
UACUUGGUUGAUCCUGCCAAGGAAGCACACUUAGGUCAUAGAUUAAGCCAUGCAAGUGUUAGUUCAGGUAACGAAACUGCGAAUAGCUCAUUAAUACGCUCAGAAUCUAUUUGGCGGCGACCAACAGGUCUUAAAUGGAUAGCAGCAGCAACUCUGGUGCUAAUACAUGCGAUUGUUUCUCCAGAUGUGAAUUAUGGAGGAAAAGUUGACCUCAUCAGAGGCACGCCAUUCGACUGAGUGACCUAUCAGCUUGUACUUAGGGUCUUUACCUAGGUAGGCUAUCACGGGUAACGGGCGGUUACCGUCGGACUGCCGGAGAAGGCGCCUGAGAGAUAGCGACUAUAUCCACGGGUAGCAGCAGGCGCGAAACUUUCCCACUCGAGACUUUCGGAGGAGGUAAUGACCAGUUCCAUUGGUGCCUUUUGGUACUGUGGAUAGGGGUACGGUUUUCCACCGUACCGAAACCUAGCAGAGGGCCAGUCUGGUGCCAGCAGCUGCGGUAAUUCCAGCUCUGCGAGUUUGCUCCCAUAUUGUUGCAGUUAAAACGCCCGUAGUCUGAAUUGGCCAGCAAUGGUCGUACGUAUUUUUACGUUCACUGUGAACAAAUCAGGACGCUUAGAGUAUGGCCACAUGAAUGACUCAGCGCAGUAUGAAGUCUUUGUUUUCUUCCGAAAACAAGCUCAAUGAGAGCCAUCGGGGGUAGAUCUAUCUCAUGACGAGUGGUGGAAUACUUUGACUCAUGAGAGAGAAGCUGAGGCGAAGGCGUCUACCUAGAGGGUUUCUGUCGAUCAAGGGCGAGAGUAGGAGUAUCCAACAGGAUUAGAGACCCUGGUAGUUCCUACCUUAAACGAUGCCGACAGGAGUUUGUCAUUUGUUAAUGGCAGAAUCUUUGGAGAAAUCAUAGUUCUUGGGCUCUGGGGGAACUACGACCGCAAGGCUGAAACU